rnacentral:rRNA from 1 species
CGGGGUGAGUAAUGUCUGGGAAACUGCCUGAUGGAGGAGGAUAACUACUGGAAACGGUAGCUAAUACCGCAUAACGUCGCAAGACCAAAGAGGGGGACCUUCGGGCCUCUUGCCAUCGGAUGUGCCCAGAUGGGAUUAGCUAGUAGGUGGGGUAACGGCUCACCUAGGCGACGAUCCCUAGCUGGUCUGAGAGGAUGGCCAGCCACACUGGAACUGAGACACGGUCCAG